AGCAACGCACCGUUUCAUUUUCAUGUUCCCGUGUUGUGUUUGGGCUUUAACGUUUUACUCUACAAAUCGAACUCAAUACAAAAGACGAGUUUCGUCUUCUCCAAAGUAGCAGCCACCAAAAUCCAGGGUUCGUGUUUUACUUAGAUCGUCAAGACCAGUUACGUUCUUCUUCCUUCUUUGACACCAAAGCGUGGUUCUGUAGCACCAACGAUUCGUCUAUGUGAUCCCGACUCUUAUAUCCGCUCAGUCUGCAUUGCGGCUGUCAGCGAUCUCUUCUCAAUGCACAGAUCAUAGUGGCGUUGUGUCUUGCAGCGGCGAUUGAUGCUGUGGAGGAUCCGGUUCGGUUAAGGCAUGUGUUUCUUUCUAGGCUGAAGAGAGGUGAUGAAUCAGAAGAUGAACAGACCUGACUUUGUAGUAUCCAACUCAGCAUACUUUGAUUGGUUGGUUCCCCUCUCAUAUUCAUCAUCAAAUUGCUUUCUGCAGUCUCCAAUCAAAUAGUCCUAAGGAGAAGAAGAGAUACAGCCAUAAACAAGCAUUGGAUAUUGACGAGGCAAACACCGUCUCUAUCACCAUCAAUCAUCUGCCACCUCGAAUCAGUUUAGGACUUUAUUAGGAUUCUGGAGUUAAGUUUUUGGUUAGACCAUUUUUUUUUGUUUGCUUGCUAUGUGAUACUUGAUGUAAUCUUUGCUUGAGACUGCUCCUACUUACGAAUUAUAUGAUUCCAGUCACUGUGAUGUGUUUGCCUGAGUGUGUUAAACACGUCCUGUCUAUUUCUAUAGCAAUGUGAUACUUGAGAAGAAACGUUCUAUGUUUUAUGUUACUAAAGUGAUCUUGAAGCUUUGUUUCUUUUCUUUAUUUCAACCUUAUAUUUAAGUCUCUCUCUCUCUCUCUCUCUCUCUCUCUCUUGUUCUGCUCAGUUAUUUUAGAUGAAUAUAGCGUAUGUAUCCCUUCCUUCUUUAUGCUUAGAGUGUUUUCAUCUUUACUUGGGCAACUAUCUGCAGUUUCAUGUUAGAAUAUCUUUAUACACCUUGGAGAGAAUCCUUUUUGAUUUGCUGUUUCCUUCAAAAUGAUAACAUAACAUUCUUCUAUUUACUUCAUUACUUGUGGUGUUACAGGCUCAGCUUCUUAAAGCUUGCGGCACAACACCAGCUACACCGACCUGGAAACUCCUCAACGUGGAAAACAAUUUACAUCUUCCCAGUUUGAUUCUUGGAUCUCCAGUUACUCUGAUGCAGUGUUUCACUUGGAUGAGAAAACACCUGAAGCCUAUGGAGAGGAGGUUUCAGAGCAAACUCCUAGCAGUUGCAUAACGUAUUCCCAAAACAAUGCAAAGAUCUCCACUGGAUUUAGCCAUGCUGGUGAAGAAAGCUAAGGAAGCAUUGGUGCUGCAUUCAGGGAUGGGGUGGAUAUAACCACCAAGUUGCCACUGACAGCAACGGGAAAGAGAAAGUCAGUGCGGUUUGAAUGUGAUUUUGAUCAGUUUUACUUAUAUAUAGGUUUGGGGUGUCAUUAUUAUGGAAACGAAAGGGCGCAAGUAAGGAUUUUAGUCAUACAUCAUUUUUCUCAUAAGUCCAUUUUCCACACACC